rnacentral:rRNA from 1 species
UACGGAGGGUGCAAACGUUGCUCGGAAUCAUUGGGCGUAAAGCGCACGUAGGCGGCCCGGUAAGUCGGAUGUGAAAGCCCUCGGCUCAACUGAGGAAGUGCAUUCGAAACUGCCAGGCUUGAAUAUGGAAGAGGGUCGCGGAAUUCCCGGUGUAGAGGUGAAAUUCGUAGAUAUCGGGAGGAACACCAGUGGCGAAGGCGGCGACCUGGGCCAAUAUUGACGCUGAGGUGCGAAAGCGUGGGGAGCAAACAGG